CAUGCUUCUAAGUAUAAAUGUCAGGAUGGUUCCUCCUGCCAGCUAUUGACCACCGGCAGAGUUAACAACCAGCAACUGCCAUCACCAUGAAGUUCAUCGCAGGAGUUAUUUUGUUGGCUGUCCUGGUGUCCAUGGCCUCAGGAGCCGCAUUUCCCGGCCCCCGCCCAUUUCCAGCGGGAUCUGUCCCUAAGGAAACCCUAGCAGGCUCCGAGACUGUGUACUACCCUUACGCCUACUACCCAGCUUACUACCCUGUCGCAUAUUGGGGAUGAAAACGUCAAAUCACUGCCAACAAUUAACAUGAUGACGACUUCAAGCUAGAUUAUGGGCAACAUUCGUCUCCAUUCUUGUCUGAACCAGCGAUGAAUUAGCUUAUUUUCUUCCAAAAAUUCAUGACUUCAACUGGAAUAUAUCCAACAAAGCAAUGUGUUCAGUAGAUGAUGACAUUAAAUGAUUUAUAUUUUUAUAAGUAUUACUACUUUACAAUGUAUGCAAAUUGAAACAUUUCUUUUGAAAUAAAAUGCUUAUAGCAGCAGUAUUAACAAUUAA